rnacentral:rRNA from 1 species
AUUGAACGCUGGCGGCAGGCCUAACACAUGCAAGUCGAGCGCGCGGCGGACGGGUGAGUAAUGUCUGGUAAACUGCCUGAUGGAGGGGGAUAACUACUGGAAACGGUAGCUAAUACCGCAUACCAUCCGAUGUGCACAGAUGGGAUUAGCUCGUAGGUGGGUUAACGGCUCACCUAGGCGACGAUCCCUAGCAGGUCUGAGAGGAUGAACAGCCACAAGAGAAGUAUGACACGGUCACGAUUCCUACGGGAGGCAGCAGUGGGGAAUAUUGCAACAUUGGCGCCAGUCUGAUGCAUCCAUGCCUCGUGUGUGAAGACGGCGUUCGGGUUGCAAAGCACCUUCAGUGGGGAGGCUUUACCCGCAGAAGAAACACCGGCUAACUCCGUGCCAGCAGCCGCGGUAAUUC